AAGUGUAAAAUUAGUCAAAAUACUUCUCAUAAUUAAUAUUUCUCAAGGGAGUGUAAAUAAAACAAAUGACAAAUAAUUUGAUACGGAGGGAGUACUACUUGGUCAUAUGGGUCAUCUAUUUUUCUCUAACACGUGUGGUUUAUGUUGCUCCCCCACUUCACGACAUUAGUCCAAUCAACAAUCUGUUCAUCUUUUACAUGCAUUUCAGUUAGUGGAACUGCUCAUGUUUGGAUUAUUCUGCUCUAUGAUGGGCUUUUAAUUCUUCUUCAUAUCUACUCUCUCCAGGAUGAUCAUGACCAACUGGAUUUUUUAAUUUUUUUUUUUUUUGGCUCUAGAGCAGCUUCAUUUUGUCUUCAUAGGUUCACACACUGACGCACUACUACUAACACCGGUCAUGCUGAAUUGUAUCUAAACAGACGGUGUUUUGAGACAGAGGAGAACUUUGAUGCAGCCAAACUGCUUGACAACUGAACAUAUUUUUGUUCGUUCAUUUUACAGGUCUCUGUAGUUGUUCGGCAGCAUAAGCCAUUCAAAAGAUGACUUAUGCUAUCCUCUUUGAUUUUUUGGUCCAUGUCGCAAGACUGCAAUCAUUAUUUGUCAAAUUAUGUCUAGGGAAGAAAAGGCUAAACCUUUCUGUUCAUUGCAAGAA